rnacentral:rRNA from 1 species
UUACGGGAAACCGGAGCUAUACGAUAAUAUUUCGAACCGCAUGGUUCGAUAGUGAAAGGUGGUUUUGCUAUCACUUAUAGAUGGACCCGCGCCGUAUUAGCUAGUUGGUAAGGUAACGGCUUACCAAGGCGACGAUACGUAGCCGACCUGAGAGGGUGAUCGGCCACACUGGAACUGAGACACGGUCCAGACUCCUACGGGAGGCAGCAGAU